UGGAGGUUUUUCAGGCUUCUAAUUAUUGCUACAACAUUUCUCUGAGACACCUCUAAUUCCACAGUAUUCUCCUGGAGACUGCUGGUGUGCUGCAUUAAAUGUGAUCAUCACCUUGGGGUUGCUCCCCAUCUUGGUCCUUAGCUCUGAUCGUGUCUGCUUCUCAAAGGAGCACAGUGCACUGCAGAAGGUGCACUGCUCGGCAGCUGGAAAAACACAUGGCUGUUCCAGAGCUACUCCAACUGUUUGCUCCUUCGCCCAGAUCAAACUGCACAGCUUGGAGCCACAGACACUCUGCUCUUCCUCCCGACCUGGCUGAAAGCCUGCCUCCUUGUUUCAGGAAGGGCUGGAGUGCAUGGUUGUUGAAGCCAAAAAAAGCCCAGAGACUCACCAGAAACAUAAGACAACAGGGUCUCGGUGUCCUGGGAUCUUCCACGGUGGUGAUGAGAACGAGAAAGUCGUCACCCAAAAGGUGCUUCCAAAACCACGUGUCUUUGAAGCGGGGUGUGGGUGGCCACCGAGGAGAUAGAAGAGCUCAUUUUUCCCCAGAAAGGCAUUUGCGGGAAUUUGCAGCUGGUGGCCAGAAAUGAGCUAUUAAAAGGUACCAGGCCCAGAGAGAGCUGCCGACCUCACCAAAAGGAGUAGUGAGGAGAACUCAGGAAGGCUGCUGUGAUUUUUCCACGAUGCACACAGCAGCAGUUUUGUGUAACCUGAGGAUGGAGAAGAGGAAUCAUGGAAUGGCUGAACCCCUCUAGACAAGAAAUUGCUCAAGGAAAGGCAGCAAAGCAGUGCAGCGUUCUACCUGAGAUGCCAGGAAUAAGAAAAUGAGCUGCAGUAGGUAUAACAAC